rnacentral:rRNA from 1 species
GAUGAACGCUGGCGGCGUGCCUAACACAUGCAAGUCGAACGAAACUGAUUCCAUGAAACUUCGGUAGAUUGGAUGGAAGUUGAGUGGCGGACGGGUGAGUAACACGUGGGCAACCUGCCUCACAGAGGGGGAUAGCAGUUGGAAACGACUGAUAAUACCGCAUAAGCACACAGUACCGCAUGGUACAGGGUGAAAAGAUUUAUCACUGUGAGAUGGACCCGCGUCUGAUUAGCCAGUUGGCAGGGUAACGGCCGUACCAAAGCGACGAUCAGUAGCCGACCUGAGAGGGUGACCGGCCACAUUGGGACUGAGACACGGCCCAAACUCCUACGGAGGCAGCAGUGGGGGAUAUUGCACAAUGGAGGAAACGUCUGAUGUAGCGACGCCGCGUGAGUGAAGAAGUA